GGAACUUGUUCAGUUUAUGUCUCAGUUGUUGAAUCUUGUUAUGUUCAUACAAAUAUUUACACUUUUUACAUUUUUUUAUAAUAUGUUUAUUAUUUUCCAAUAAAUACAGCAAUACAAACAUUGACAUUCAUUGUACUGUUGAAUGGGAUGGCCAAUUUAGAGGACAAAACAAAACUUAACUCACACAUACACAAAAUAAAACAAAAUCCUAUUAGGUGGUACGUACUAUAAGAAGACAGCAUAUAGUCAUUACAAGCAGUGUAGUUAAACCCCAAAUAAGUAUUGAGUGGAGUACAGCACAGAGUAGCAGCAGAUCAUCAACCCAGUUAUGAAGGGGGACUAGACCAUUUAUUCAGUAUCGGCUGCCAUAUUUUGUAAAACAAUGAACUUCUAUUGGAGGUAUUGUAUCAUAUCUUUUCCAUAUGUAUUACAUUCCCUAAAUCCCGUAACCACAUUUCAAAGGUAGGUACAGUCUCCAAUUUCCAAAAUGGCAAUAUGAGCCUUUUGGCUAAUAGAGUACAAAGAGAGACAGCCUUCCCUUCCUGGUUAUUCCCAUCAACUGUACCAAACAGACUGAUCAAUGGGUCUGGGGCUAGAACUCUAUCGAAGGCUUUAGAUAAGUCAUCAAAAAUGAGAGCCCAGUAAGCAUGUAACUUAGGACAUGUCCAAAAUAAGUGGGUCAACGUCCCCUCAUCCUGCUUGCACCUCUCACACAGUGGUGAGGUGUCCGGGAAUAUUUUAUGCAGUUUCACUUUUGAGUAAUGUAACCUGUGUAUCACCUUAAACUGUACAAGGUUGUGUCUGGCAUUCACUGAACUGUGGUUUAUAUUCCUGAGAGCUUCUACCCAGUCCUCAUCUGAGAUUUCUGACCAAGUUCUUGUUCCCAAGCCCUUUUAAUAGUGUCUGUGGAUGCCUCUAUGUGGGCCUGUAGCACAUCAUACAGUCUAGAGACCGACCCUUUUGAAUGGGGUUUGACAAGGAUCAGGCUAUCUAAUGUAGGAUUAUUCGGCUUAAUGCCAUACUGUGGAUAUGUGUCCUUAAGAAAUUCCUGAUUUGGUAUCUGAAAAAAUGUGUUGUUGGCAUGUUGAACCUUCCCUGUAAUUGUUGAAAUGAAGCUAACUGACCAUCCGUGUAUAAAUUACCAAUUGUUGUGAGCCCCUUCUCUCUCCACUGUGAAAACACCAUAUCAUCCAAUGCAGGGUGGAAAGCAUGAUUCGGGCAAAUUGGGCUGUCAAUGUAUACAGUGGCUAUGUUAAGAAAAUACCUAAUCUGUUUCCAGAUCCUAAGAGUAUGAGAAAUGACUGGAUUAGAGUCAUAAGUGGCUUUUUUCACAUAUAAUGGACUAUUAACAAAUGCAGGGAGUGAGGAACGUUGACAGGAGACCUGCUCAAUCAAAAGCCAUAAAGGCGUAUCAUUCUGUCGCAUCCCAGGUAAACUUUCCCUCCAGAAAGACACAAUGUUCAGAUUAGCAGCCCAAUAAUACAGUUUAAAGUGAGGAAGGCCAAAGCCCCUCUCUAUCUUGUACUUGCAUAAAUGCUUCUUUGAAAUUCUGGCUGCCUUGUUAUCCCAUACAAAUGGAAUUACUAUUGAAUACAGUUUCUUAAAAUAGCUUUGUGGUAUGAAAUUGGGUCGACAUUGGAAGAGGUAAAGAAACCUGGGUAGGACAACCAUUUUAAUAGCGGUUAUACGACCAACCAAGAAGAUAGGCAGAGUUUUCCAAAAAUCUAUAUUUUGUUUAAGCUAAUAAAUGUUCAUGUCCCCAUUCGUUUUCAAUAGCUGAUCUAGGUCUCUUGUCACUACAAUGCCAAGGCUUGUGAACUUGUCCAUCACUGUUCUAUAUGAUAUCGGCAUCGAUUCGCUUUUUUGCCAGUUUAUCUUGUAGCCAGAGAGGGAGCCGAAUGUAUUUACCAAGUUAAGUAAGGGGGGAAUAGAAGUUUUAGGCUUGGAUAAAAAGAACAGAACAGAACAUCGUCUGCAUAUAGGAAUUCGUCCUAAAAACGUUCCUAAAAAGGUUCUCCUGUUCCCCUAACACUCUUUCAAUUUCUCUCAGCCUAGUAUUGGAGCGUUUCUUCCUCUCUGAUGUAUAAGAAAUAAUGUAACCUCUAAUCACAGCCUUUAGAGAUUCCCAAUACUGGGAUACUGAGAAAAAGCCUCAUCUUUCAACAGGUAUGUGUCUAAGCGCCACGGUCGCCGACCUAUCGACAUAUUGUCGAGUUCCAGCACCAUGGACAGAGGAGAGUGGUCCGCAAUUAGAAUAGGGUGAUAGGUAACCGACGCAGCUGCUGAAAUUAGUUUGGAGUCCAACAAAAAAAUAGUCAAUUCUGGAAUAUGAUUUAUGAACUGAUGAAAAGACAGAAUAAUCCCCAUCUGUUGGGUGCGUCAGCCUCCUAAUAUCAACAAUGUUAUGGUUUGUCAUCAAUGUAUUUAGACAGACACUGGCAUUUGAUUGUUGAAGUGACCUUGAUAGCUGUUUAUCUAAAAGAGGAUCUAAAGUACAGUUAAAGUCACCUCCAACAAGAACACUUGUAUCCGAGGUAUGGCCUUAAAUACCCUUUGAAAAAUUAAUGGAUCAUUGAAGUUGGGUCCAUAUAAAUUGACCAAGGUUAUUGGUUUCGAAUUCUGUGUACCAGCCACAAUUAUAUACCGACCAUUAGGAUCUGAAAUCGAGGAUGAGUAAACAAAAGGAAUGUUUUUCGUUAUCAGGAUUGCUACCCCUCUCGCUUUUGCAUCAAAGUUAGACUGGUAUAUCUGACCGAUCCAGCCGACUCGUAGCUUGGCCUGAGCGGAGCGUUUGAUAUGAGUUUCUUGAAGAAGCACUAUGUCAGCCCCCAGUGAUUUAAGAUGAGAAAAAAACAUUAGCUCGUUUCACGACAUGCCCUAAGCCAUUACAGUUCCAGCUGACUAUCUUUAUUCCACCAGGUCUACUCUGUGCUCGGUCACUAUGUGGCAUGUCUUAUUUUAGAGCAAAUUGUUGCUGUCAUACAAAGCCCAAAAGAAAAACGUCCCGCCGUGCGGGAGCUUGUCAUGCCACCUGUAUUAAUAAAUGUGAACAUAAAACACAGACCCCAUCCCCCCUCCCGUCCCUUUACUGAGUGACUUCCCCAAACGAUGCACUCCUUGUCUAACACACAAACCGUAGGGUGUCUAGACAUACAGCUUGAACUAACUCGUCAUCUAUAGAUGCUCCGCUUAUAAACUAAUAUGAAAUAACGCUUAACUCUCACGUUAGGGGGUGAGUGGCGCUAAAACAUGAUAGGCUAAACAACGCUAUAUAAGCCACAUCUCACCCAUUGUAUAAGUCCCAAUUUCUGAUCUUCUGAUCGAAAAGACAUAGGCAGGAAAUUCAAACACAUUCCUGGCCUGUAUUUGGCCAUUUAGCCAGUUGACACAGCCGUUCUGUAUCCUCAGCCAGGGAACUUGCGUGCCAAGGAGAGAUCCGCCUCUUUUGGGUUGUCAAACGUAUGUGUUGAUCCCUCGACUGUCACCUUAAACCGGUCUGGGAAGAGGAAUCCAUAUCGGAUGUUGGCCGCCCUGCAUUUGUUGCGUAACUCAUCAUACUCUUUCUGUUGGUUCCUCACAUCCAAAAUCGCCACGACCACUUUGAGGACACUCUACUGCCCAAUCACCACUGGGCCCAGUGGGUUGGCAUGCCAACGAACACCGAAAAGUAAGGGGAAAACUUUAAACAACAAUUCCAACCUAGAUGCUGAUAGAUGACUGUAAUAAAUGAGCUCAUUUGAAAUAAUGGCCACCUCCCCCACGACACCUUAUAGCUCUGGGAAUUGUUUUUGUUCGACCUGUUUGACUUUGACUCUUCAUCCAUGAUUCUGCCCACUGUGUGUCUCAGUGUGGCUAUCCUUGUGCGGAUUGCAUAUUCCCACAAGUUAACUUUGUUCCAAUUACUGAUGAAUAUGGGUUGGAGAGAAUCCUAUUUGUGGCAUUUAGGAUUCAGAGUGACUCCCUGCAGAGAGUCCAGUGGUAGUGACUGGAUUGCUUUAGUUGAUAUCAUACCACAGGGAUUCAAUCAUACAUCAUCUUUUGAGGAUGAGAUAAGGUGAGUGAAGUGCAGAGAUGAAGCAUAACUCUUCAGUCGAUCUGUCCAGAGUUCGGCUGUGUUUGCGUACUAACGUGAUUUUUCUUAUAUGGCUAGACCUCCAGGCAAGUGUCUGAGGGGAGCUGUCUGGCCCAAAAGGCUGGCCUAGAAAUGCCAUGUAUCCAACUCCAACUACCUAAAAUUGAUUCUGGAUGACACAAAAGCAGCAUACAACUGGCGAGAGAGGAAAUUACUUUGCGUUAUCGGCAAACUGAAUUGAUGUUUUGAUGGGAGCAGUGCCAUAUCUCAUACUUGUAUUGUUAUCCAUAUGAAACUGACAUUACCCUUGUUAUUUGGGGACUACUGUUUAUAUUACCAGUACCAGUGGGCAACACAGUAUCCUGAAAAUGUUUUGAUCUGUAGGGAACAUUUUUCCUGGUUUGUAGUUCUCAAUGUUAUAUAGCAGGGGUACUCAACUCUUACUCCACGAGGUCCGGAGCCUGCUGGUUUUCUGUUCUACCUGAUAAUGAAUUGCACCCACCUGGUGUUCCAGGUCUAAAUCACUCCCUGAUUAGAGAGCAACAAUGAGAAAUUGCAGUGGAAUUGGCUUCGAUGUCCAGAAUUUAGUUUGAGGGUUAUAUAAACUCAGCGUUUAUUUUCAGCAAACUUAGCAUGUGUAAAUAUUUGUAUGAACAUAACAAGAUUCAACAACUGAGACAUAAACUGAACAAGUUCCACAGACAUGUGACUAACAGAAAUUGAAUAAUGUGUUCCUGAAC
rnacentral:lncRNA from 1 species